rnacentral:rRNA from 1 species
UCGUGCGGGACGAAAAAUCUGGUGAGUUAAUAGCUCAUCAGACUGACGGUACCGCAAAAGGAAGCACCGGCUAACUUCGUGC